UUCUUUUCUGCUUUUCUCCAUACGAAGAUACAAGAGCAGUCUCAGAUUCAAUCCGCUUGACUUGCUCAAAUUCUCAAUUCAUCUCUACUCUCUAGUCACCCUGGAUCGGAGCUUCAUCACAACACUCCUUUUGACACCAUAGCUCAUUAUCCCACCACCACCAGCUCUUCACCGCCAUCGCCAUAUUACUCGUCCGCCAUCUCUGACUCUGAUUUUGUUUUCAUUUUACAAGAAAGAAGAUGAAUUCGUGUUACCAUACUCACUCCUCCUUCCUCAAGCUUCCCCAUUUCUUCAUCACUGUGGAAGGCGCCUGCUGCAACAACCGCCGCUCUUCUUAGAUCAGAUAUCGUUCUCACUGAUAAGGCUCGUGGUUCUGUUUCUCGUUCUGGAUCUGUGCGUACAUACCGCACUCUCUCACUCAAGCUGGCGCGUGAUCAGAGGGUGCAGUCAUUCACAUGAUCACGAUCAUCAUCAUGAGGCGGCGAGUAUGAUGAAGUUGCUGGAGGAGCUGGCUGAGGAGGAGGAUAUGAAGUUGUGUGGGUUUGGGCCAUGUCUCCAUCACCAUCACGAAUCAAGUUCUAGCCUUUCUGGAUUUGAUACUGAUGGAUUUGGGAGUGAGGACGAUGAAGCUGAUGAUGAAUAAUCCGGCAAAGUAUGUUGGUCUGAGGGGAUUUGGAUAGCCGAUGUGGGAAGAGUCCCUCUGUUGAGUCUUAUCACAGAGGAAAAUAAGAGAUAUUUGGAGACAAAGAGGACUAAGAUGGGUCACAUGUAUGGCUUGAAGUUCAAUUGUGAUGUUGUGGAGGAGACUGAUAACUGCUAAUGGUGAAACUUUCAAGCUUGUGCGAUUUUUUGUACACUCAAUUGUUUCUUCAACAUGUCAAUACACAAGCUUUUCAAAAAAUCAUAUGAUUAACAGAUGUAAUCGUAUCAAAUAUAUUUUUGUUGAAAUAAACUUUAUGGCUUAUUGUUUA